rnacentral:rRNA from 1 species
CACGGUAGGGCGCAAGCGUUGUCCGGAAUUAUUGGGCGUAAAGAGCUCGUAGGCGGUCUGUUGCGUCCGCUGUGAAAACUCGGGGCUUAACCCCGAGCCUGCAGUGGAUACGGGCAGACUAGAGGUAGGUAGGGGAGAAUGGAAUUCCCGGUGUAGCGGUGAAAUGCGCAGAUAUCGGGAGGAACACCGGUGGCGAAGGCGGUUCUCUGGGCCUUACCUGACGCUGAGGAGCGAAAGCGUGGGGAGCGAACAGG